CCCUUGUUCUCGGUAAGAUAGACCAUCCCGGACCUGUUUUCGUGCGAUUCACGUUAAACCUAAACCAAGAUGUCGAAUAUGGCGCUAUAGCAGUUGAUUUAAUAUAGAAAUUGUAUUUUCUAGCCUCUAAAUCAGUGAAAAGUUCGGGAUUUACAAUUUUUUAAACGUGUUUUUCGUGAGGAAAUUAGUAACGUAGUGUGAUUGAUCGAAACGACGCUAACAGUGGAAAUAACGGUUCCAAAAUACCACGUUUUUAACGUUUAACCUUUUCAAUUCCCAGUAAAUACUCCUAAAUUCGGGAUAAAAAAUAUUUGGUUGCGGAUUCCGAGUCCCAGUGAACCAACAGAAUACUUUCGACGUGGCAGAAUCACGAUUUUCACUCUCCCUCGAGAAUUAGGCCUGUACCUUCUUGAAAUACAUUUGGGUCCAUCUCUAAAUCAAUAUGUGUAUAAAGUAGGGCCAUUUGAAUUACGUUUCAUUAACCCCGAUGACCUUCCUCCUCGGAAUAAACGUAAACAUUGAAAAAGAAAACAAAUCAUCAUGAUCGAAGAACAAUAAUGUGGCUGCUGCAAAGUGAUGACGCUGUGAGUUAUUUGUAGGAAUUGUGCUUAAAUGUGUAUGCUAUGGAAAUUCAUUCCAUGAGGAUUGAUCAUGGGGCAGUUCAAACUAAUACAAUGUCGUAUCCUCAAAGACAAACUCAAAAUCACAGGUAAGCCAAACAUUAGCCCAAUUGUGAGUAGAGAACAAUAUUUUUUUAUAUCAGAGUAUGUAUCCUUCAUCUGAUGUAUUAUCCAAGAUUUCUCAAGAUUAUUCUGCUAGUCCCGAUAAAUUGCUGUUGAUUUUUUUGAUAAAUAACUUAAUUUUUUACUUUGUGUUCGUUUGAAAGAAUUAUAGAAGGUUGAAGAUGAGAUUUUGAAAAUAUAUGCUUUCUCAUUUUGUG